UACUGCCCUAAACCAGCCUCAUUCCC
rnacentral:misc_RNA from 1 species